UGGAYCGUCGCAAGACGGACGGAUGCGAAAGCGUUUGCCAAGAAUGUUUUCGCUAAUCAAGAACGAAAGUUAGAGGUUCGAAGGCGAUCAGAUACCGCCCUAGUUCUAACCAUAAACGAUGCCAGCCAGCGAUGCGCCGACGUUCCUCCGAUGACUCGGCGCGCAGCUUCCGGGAAACCAAAGCUUUUGGGUUCCGGGGGAAGUAUGGUUGCAAAGCUGAAACUUAAAGGAAUUGACGGAAGGGCACCACCAGGAGUGGAGCCUGCGGCUUAAUUUGACUCAACACGGGAAACCUCACCAGGCCCGGACAUCGGGAGGAUUGACAGAUUGAGAGCUCUUUCUUGAUUCGAUGGGUGGUGGUGCAUGGCCGUUCUUAGUUGGUGGAGCGAUUUG
rnacentral:rRNA from 1 species